AGUUGGAUGCUGGAGCUGGCAGGACCGGCAUCUCCCUCCGGAUCAGCUAGAAACUUGACAGGGUUCGGUGUGUGGCAGAGCAGGACAAAGAGAGAAGGGGAGAGGGAAGAGUUUUUGCCCAUCAGAGCCUUCUCCUGAUGACGGACGCAAACACCAACCUCUGAGCACAGCGUGUGUAGGUGCAAACCCAGCCCGAUGUACUCACCUGCCGUUGGGACCUUCCAUCCUCUCAUCUGCUCUGCCCCAAAUUCAGGCAGAUGAAAGCCCGACAAGAAAGGGCAGACGCGGCUUCCCCUCAACAAGUCGCUGCAGGAACGUGGUGAAGGCUCACACCAGCCUCUGCUCAUCGCCUGCCCUGAAUCCCUUUGGUGAAACUCGUUGGCAUCGGAGGAACUGGGUCUGGAGGAGCUCAGCCCUGCUGGUGUCGGUGUGGGGCUCGGAGGUGCGGUGGGUGGCAGAGCUCCUCUGGAGCCCCCCAGCCCCUCCUCAGCAGGAGGCAGGCUUCCUUUCUCUGCUCUGCGCACUGUCCAAUCCCAAGGCUGUUCCUGUGGGUCAGCAUUGCCCAUGAUGGGUUUGGUCUCCAUGCCGUGGUCCAACAGCCAGCCUACUCCGAGCGUGCUGCUGCUGGAGCUGUGCCUUUUUUUCUCCAUCAUGUGAGUAAAGUUUCUGCGAGUCUGUUCUGGC
rnacentral:lncRNA from 7 species